rnacentral:rRNA from 1 species
UUGAACGCUGGCGGCAUGCCUUACACAUGCAAGUCGAACGGUAACAGGUCUUCGGAUGCUGACGAGUGGCGAACGGGUGAGUAAUACAUCGGAACGUGCCCGAGAGUGGGGGAUAACGGAGCGAAAGCUUUGCUAAUACCGCAUACGAUCUACGGAUGAAAGCAGGGGACCGCAAGGCCUUGCGCUCAUGGAGCGGCCGAUGGCAGAUUAGGUAGUUGGUGGGAUAAAGGCCCACCAAGGCGACGACCUGUAGCUGGUCUGAGAGGACGACCAGCCACACUGGGACUGAGACACGGCCCAGACUCCUACGGGAGGCAGCAGUGGGGAAUUUUGGACAAUGGGCGCAAGCCUGAUCCAGCAAUGCCGCGUGCAGGAAGAAGGCCUUCGGGUUGUAAACUGCUUUUGUACGGAACGAAAAGGUCUGGGUUAAUACCCUGGGCUCAUGACGGUACCGUAAGAAUAAGCACCGGCUAACUACG